AAAAAGGCCCUUUUCAGGGCCACCAAUUAAUGUAUAGAACUUAAAA
rfam:Acyrthosiphon pisum strain LSR1 Contig1000547, whole genome shotgun sequence.